UUUGUACUCUUUCCGUCCCAAAAUUCUUGUCUUAAAUUCGUCUAGAUAUGGAUGUAUCUAAUACUAAAACAUAAUUUGGUACAUCCGUAUUUAGACAAAUCGAAGACAAAAUUUUUGGGACGGGGGGAGUAGAUA
rfam:Triticum urartu cultivar G1812 contig659050, whole genome shotgun sequence.